rnacentral:rRNA from 1 species
UACGCCGGGUGCAAGCGUUAAUCGGAAUUACUGGGCGUAAAGCGUGCGUAGGCGGUUCGUUAAGUCUGAUGUGAAAGCCCUGGGCUCAACCUGGGAAUGGCAUUGGAUACUGGCGGGCUAGAGUGCGGUAGAGGGGUGCGGAAUUCCCGGUGUAGCGGUGAAAUGCGUAGAGAUCGGGAGGAAAAUCUGUGGCGAAGGCGGCACCCUGGACCAGCACUGACGCUGAGGCACGAAAGCGUGGGGAGCAAACAGG